rnacentral:lncRNA from 1 species
AAUGAAUAUAAAAUUGUAAAUUGUAAAAAUAAAAACAAUACACAGACUCUUAAUUUGAUAAAUCACCUAAACACAAAUAAUAGAACAUUUACCAGUACAGUUAUUACCAAAAUAAACAAUUGUACUAACAAAUCCAAUGCUAACUGUAAAAACAAUUCCGAUUUAACUACUGUUAUGUAUAGCCAAAUACAAUGUAAAAACUGUCAUAAUAUAUAUACUCAAAAAAAAAAAGGAUAUAUUUUUUUUUUACGAAAGCGGACAUAGAAACCAAUGGGUACUACCUGCAAAUAAAAAAAUAACAAAAGUAAUAAAAAUGUGUUCUCAAACGGAAGCUUUUUUUUAUGCCUGGUUAUAUUUAUGUUGUAAUAAACAAAUUAUUAUUACAGAAGCUCAAAAAAAUUAUAGCUCUAUAUUAGAAAGUGAAGAAGGGUCGGAAGCAGAAACGAAAGCAGAAACAGGAGAAGAAACAGGAGCAGAAAAAGAACCAAAAACAAGAUCAAAAUGCGCUACUAUUCCUUUUAUAAAUAAAAACUCUGGUUCUUAUUAUGAUAGAAUAGUCACAUAUACUACUGAUUUUAUUAAAUAUACUACUCCUUGCUACUACUCUUUUUUAAACCCAAGAGGUUUACAACAACUUGAGAGUUAUGGUUUUGUAAUGAAAACAAAACGAAAUAGCAAUAAUAACAACAGGUUGUCGAAAGAAUGUAGUAAGAAUAAUUUACCUAAUAAUAGCAAUUGUGCAACCAAAAAUGAAAACAGUAACGUUAGUAACAGUAUUAGUAACAACGUUAGUAACAGUAUUAGUAACAACGUCAGUAACAACGUUAGUAACAACGUCAGUAACAACGUUAGUAACAAUGUCAGUAACAUAGAUAAAGCAAAAAUAGAGACUAAUCAAACUUAUGCCACGGUUACAACUGCGACAAUGAAUGAAAAUAUACAUAAUGAAUAUAAAAGUGCUAUAUGUAUAUAUAACGUACUAAGUACAAUGAGACACCCUUGUGUUAUUGAUAUAAAAAUAGGUGUUCGCUUAUAUGGUGAUGAUUGUGAUAAAAAUUCUAUCCAAAAAAAAAUUCAAAAAGCAAAAGAUAGGUCCUGUUUAUCACAUGGGUUCCAUUUAAGUAGUGUUAUAGGUUGGAAUAAAAAAAAAAAAAACAUUUUUUAUUUCAAAAAAUGAUGCACCUAAUAUAAAAAAUGAUGACGCAUUUGUAGAUACUUUUAUGUCAUAUUUUUUAGCUUGUGAUAAUAUACAAGUUUCUAUUUUUUUAUUAAAAAAAAUGCUUAUUA